GAUGAACGCUGGCGGCGUGCCUAAUACAUGCAAGUCGAGCGAACAGACGAGGAGCUUGCUCCUUCGACGUUAGCGGCGGACGGGUGAGUAACACGUAGGUAACCUACCCAUAAGACUGGGAUAACUUCGGGAAACCGGAGCUAAUACCGGAUAAUAUUUCGAACCGCAUGGUUCGAUAGUGAAAGAUGGCUUUGCUAUCACUUAUAGAUGGACCUGCGCCGUAUUAGCUAGUUGGUAAGGUAACGGCUUACCAAGGCAACGAUACGUAGCCGACCUGAGAGGGUGAUCGGCCACACUGGAACUGAGACACGGUCCAGACUCCUACGGGAGGCAGCAGUAGGGAAUCUUCCGCAAUGGGCGAAAGCCUGACGGAGCAACGCCGCGUGAGUGAUGAAGGUCUUCGGAUCGUAAAACUCUGUUAUUAGGGAAGAACAAACGUGUAAGUAACUGUGCACGUCUUGACGGUACCUAAUCAGAAAGCCACGGCUAACUACGUG
rnacentral:rRNA from 1 species